rnacentral:rRNA from 1 species
UACGGAGGGGGCAAGCGUUGUUCGGAAUUACUGGGCGUAAAGGGCGCGCAGGCGGCUGCUCAAGUCAGGCGUGAAAGGCCUGGGCUCAACCCGGGAAUUGCGCUUGAGACUGGGCUGGCUUGAGUGUGGCAGAGGGGGGUGGAAUUCCGCGUGUAGCAGUGAAAUGCGUAGAGAUGCGGAGGAACACCGAUGGCGAAGGCAGCCCCCUGGGCUAACACUGACGCUCAGGCACGAAAGCGUGGGGAGCAAACAGG